rnacentral:rRNA from 1 species
GACGAACGCUGGCGGCGUGCUUAACACAUGCAAGUCGAACAGAAAGGCCCUGCUUUUGUGGGGUGCUCGAGUGGCGAACGGGUGAGUAACACGUGAGUAACCUGCCCUUGACUUUGGGAUAACUUCAGGAAACUGGGGCUAAUACCGGAUAGGAGCUCCUGCUGCAUGGUGGGGGUUGGAAAGUUUCGGCGGUUGGGGAUGGACUCGCAGCUUAUCAGCUUGUUGGUGGGGUAGUGGCUUACCAAGGCUUUGACGGGUAGCCGGCCUGAGAGGGUGACCGGCCACAUUGGGACUGAGAUACGGCCCAGACUCCUACGGGAGGCAGCAGUGGGGAAUAUUGCACAAUGGGCGGAAGCCUGAUGCAGCAACGCCGCGUGCGGGAUGACGGCCUUCGGGUUGUAAACCGCUUUCGCCUGUGACGAAGCGUGAGUGACGGUAAUGGGUAAAGAAGCACCGGCUAACUACGUG